UACGUAGGGGGCAAGCGUUGUCCGGAUUUAUUGGGCGUAAAAGGCUUGUAGGUGGCCACGCCAAGUCGGAUGUGAAAUCUCCCGGCUCAACUGGGAGGGGUCAUUCGAUACUGGCGGGCUCGAGGCCGGUAGGGGGAAGUGGAAUUCCCGGUGUAGUGGUGGAAUGCGUAGAUAUCGGGAGGAACACCAGUGGCGAAGGCGGCUUCCUGGACCGGUUCUGACGCUGAGGUGCGAAAGCGUGGGGAGCAAACAGG
rnacentral:rRNA from 1 species